UCCCCAGUAGCUCAGUGGCAGAGCAUCCGACUGUUGAUCGGCGGCGCGCAGGUUCGAGUCCUGCCUGGGGAG
rnacentral:tRNA from 1 species